rnacentral:lncRNA from 1 species
GACAACAGGAGCUGGGAAUGUUUCCUCUGGGGACCCUGAACCCCUUCCUGUGCUCCUGCCGUUCCCCAUGGAAACCACGGGCACACAGACAGCACCAAAAUAUUUUGGGAGGCUUUAAGAGAAGAUGUGCAGAGUGAGAGUGAGCUCCACAAGCCCAGAUCGAUUGGAAUUCAACCAUCUUGGGAGCAGAGCAGGGAGGUUCCAGCUGCUGGAAAUUACACACAGCUCCUUUCAUUUCCACACAUUUUUCCUGCCUAAUUGGAGCGAGGUGAGAGCUCGGGAAGGAGCCGGACACGAUCCCUCCAUGACUCAUUCCUGAGGGAGGGAGGGAAGGAGGGACACAGGGACACUCCCUGGGGAACCAUUGCACCAGUCUGCUCUUACUGGGCACUGAAGGAGGAACCUGUUAUCUCCAGGCACCCACAGAUGUCAUUUGGAUGAGAAUGAGCAGCUGGGCCAGGAACAGAGACAGGAAGAGGUCAAAGUGUGCAGGACGUGAGGACACUUCUUGCUCAGCCACUUCUCAGUGUGGGAGCCAAUUCCAUGAGCAUUCCCAGUGCAGCUUCACUGGAGGUGUGGAUGAGGAGACAGAGCAGGUGAACACCUCACAUGGAGAUCCAGGCCUCCAGUGGCAUCCUCAGCAGCAGGAACAAGCCCUUUUCCUAAAAAAUCCAGCCAGGACAACAGGCACCAGCUGGAAGCAGCCUGUGAUGGAGAGGAUGCAAAUGUGAGAGGCUGCACUGCCGUUCUCUGCCAAUGACCUAAUGAAGCACAAGAAGGUUU